GUCUACUACUACCGGUACUGUUAAGUUCUUCAACGAAGCUAAAGGCUUUGGCUUUAUCACUCGUGAAGGCGGCCCGGACGUAUUCGUUCACUACAGCGCCAUCCAGGGCUCUGGUUUCAAGACUCUGGCCGAAGGCCAGCAGGUCGAGUUCACCGUUACUCAGGGCCAGAAAGGUCCUCAGGCGGAGAACGUUGUUCCUCUGUAACCUUUACAGGUUGAGGAACAUCAAAAAAGGCAGCCUCGGCUGCCUUUUUGCG
rnacentral:other from 1 species